UUGGCGAAAUAAUGUAAUCGCUACCUUAAAAAGGACCGUUUGCCUACUUACUGCCCAUGAAAUCAACGUUUUUACAUUUGCACUGAAUACAAUCGAGUCACUGAGCUACAGUUCAUGUUUUGUACGAUUAUUUAUUAGUCAAACCGUUUCACUAAUAAAUAAUCGUACAAAACAAACGUUAGUUUUGCGUUAGCUUUACGAGGAAGCGCUUCAGUUUAAAUGCGCAACAUGGCAGGCGGAAGUGACACUAUUGGAAGCACGGCCUUGGAAAGUGACACACGUCCUUAGAGAUGAUGGAUCCCAGAAACCCGAAGGAUUCUGCAGCAGGUCACAGUUUGGUAUUUGGAGCACACUUGGCAAGAACAAGAUCCUGAGGUUAUAAUCCAUAGUUACGAGAAGCGGUUGCUAGGUGCGUUGCCGAGAUACAGACCCUUCUCUCCACUGGCGCUACGUAGGAGGCCACCGGGUCCUUGAUGGCGGCGGAGAGAUGAGGGACGGAUGAAAGGAUGACGAGAGACGGGACAAUGAGGAUGGGAAAUACACGCACACACCUGACGGAGGCUGCGUGAGCAGAGGCACAAAGAUGGAGCAGAAGAAAGGCUGAACAUGAGCACAGACUGUAAAGUAAACACACAAAAAGGAUAAUGUAACAGUCUAAGUGGGCAAUCUGAGCACCUCCAUUUGCCAAGGCUACGUUUUAGUGUGUCCGUUUUCUCUGUGUGUGUGUGUGUGUGUGUGUGUGUGUGUGUGUGUGUGUGUGCUGCAUGUGAACGACCGUGACAGUGGUAAAGAGAGAGAGAUGGGGAAUCUCCUUUAGCUGCUUGAAAAGCCUUCUAUUAUGUUAAAAAAAGAAAGAUACAAAGGUGCACUGCUGACUUUAGUCACUGGAUCCUUUGUGCCGGCUUUGGACACUUUGAGUAUGAGCAGCAUUUCCAGGUUAGGGGACUUGUGUUGGACUUAAAUAAGAAUAAGAAAUGUUCACCAUGUUUGUUCUACUGUGUUUUUUUGGACGCGUUGACCUGUUAGACGUUUCCCCACAGAGACGGUAACAUCUCUGUUUAUUAGUGCUCAAGGCCAUAAAAGCACCUGAGUUACACAAGCUGUCAUUUCUGUUUUUUUUUCUAAGGCUGAUCCGUUUAGUAUGGUGAUGAUAGAAACCCAUGGGAGUGCUUACUCCUCACCAGUUUUCUUGUUGGUAGAUAGAAAGAGUGUUCUUUGGUUGCUGAAGCUGCAGAAGCCAUCUGCCGCUCCCAGCUACGAUUAUCCCCGUGCUCUCCCCCAGGGGGCAGUAGCACCGUGCACACGACCAAUCCCCCACACUUAACUCUGCCCCAAGAUCAAAGGAACAGAACUUCUGCGAGCCAAAACAGCCACCAUCGCCCCGCUCGUCUGUCUACCUCAGGACAAGUUUUCAGCAGUUUCUAAAAUAAAUAAAUAAAAGGAUAUUAACAUGAUGUCAUAGAAUGAGAAGCCGACCUCAAAAGCAAAGCUCUGAGCUCGCUUUGAGUAGGUAGUGCAGCUCUGCCGUGCCCAUCGCUUCUGACAAUGUUAUUAGGAAGAUAAUUCUCACAAGCAAAUAAACAGUGUGUAACACCCCUGUGAGGUUUCCUUUCAGCUCGGCUUUCUGUGUGUGCAUUUCACUGAUAUUGUGUCAUCUGGUGAGGGAGCAAAUAUCAGGGUUACUUAGAGGUUAUGCUUGUGAUCUUCUUUUGAAAGUGCAACAGAGAAGGUUUAUAGAUCAUCACGAGCAACGCUGUACAUUCACCACUGAACGCAGUCGAGAUGUAUACAUGUAGUAUCACACGUGCAGUUCAUGCACAGCUACACUUUGUAAGAGUUGGUUGAAUAACUCAUCUGUAGCCUCGUGUUGUUUUAUUUACUUUCUAUUUUACUUCAGUAAAUUGAGAUUCAAAAGUACUUCAAAUGUUCGAUCAUUUAUUUUUAUUAAUGAAAAGUGUGAUACUGAAUGUACCCAAAUAAAUAGAAAAUACUUAAUAAUUAACGGCUUUUUAGUUUAGAAAAUACUUUCACUACAAUUUAAUAAACUGCUUAUUUGUUGUAUUAUAUUAAAAUGCUUUGUGGAAGGUAAUGCAAAUAGUUUUGGAUUAAAGAUGGGCUUAAGGCUCACGUGUCCUUCAGCUCAGCAGCCCCCUCAUCCUGUAGACUUUGCUUUCAGGAGAGACCCCUGUUGGUUGAUUGGAAUGACUUCGCUAAUUGGAUUCAAUUCCUAAUUGAAACGUAAUAAAAAUGCAUCAGUAGACGUGGCGCCAACAAUUACCUCAUGCAAAUCUCUUGAUGAAUUGACGUGAGGGGCGUAAUUGCAGCUGUUAAAACAAAAAAAAAUGCAUUGAUUUCUCCUGGAAUAACAUCAAUUCAAAUCAGUUCACACUCAACGCUUCAACCUGCGUGCGGAAAGCAUUUGUCACCACUCAGUGUUCCCUUUUUUGGAGGUAUACAGAAAAAAGAAUAUGGAAACAUCUGCAGCCUGUCACGUUCGUACGUCAAAAAUGAUUGUGCUUGUGCGAGACUUCGUAUCAAAUGCGCUACAUCUAUGCAUAUGCAAUAAAGUAUUCUCAACGCUCGGAGGGAAACAAAAGGAGAAAUGUCUUUGUUUCUGUUUGCACUCGGAUGGUGCACUGGUUAUGAAUUUAUUUGGUUUAUAGAGCAAACAUUCUGCUGGGCAU